AGGAGCUAUCAAGAUAAAUGAAUUAACCAACCGCCAAAUUUCAUAAGAUGGUCACUCGUCGAGCUGCACAAAGAAAUGGAGAAACUAACCAACGAGCAGAUAGAGGAAAUGUUUGACCGAAAGCUGACAGAGGAAGACUUGGAAGUGGAAAUAAAUGACAUCAAAGGAAGAAACAGAGGAGUAGCAUCAGAUGAAGAGCUGAGGGAGGAAGACUUUGUAACUCCAACUUUUGGAGAUUGGCACCAGAAAACCACCCAAGAACUGUGAAAAGAAGAAGUAGAAAGUCAGAAGAGAAUGAAGGACUUAAUAGGCUCGUUGGAAGAAGCAACAACUCAAACGAGUCUCUCACAAGAAGAAAACCAGAAAACUCAAGACUUGUUGAAGAAGUUGACCAAAGAGAAUGAAAAGCUAGCAAGGCAGAAUGAUAGAUAU